GUGUCGACCAAUCAGGAGCCGGUGCAGUCUGUUAUUGCUCUCUGAACAGAUAGGGAUAUUUUAAGAGCCGAGAGUGAGCCGAAUACUACAGGGAUUAUAUCAAAAGCAAGACUUCGACAUCUGGGGGCGAAGCGUCAAGCUCACGCGGAGCUGAAAGCGGCUACAUUCGGCACAAUAUGAGCUCUUUUAAACCUCUGAUCUGAUGAACGCGCGUGCAGGGACUGUUGAUGUGGCUUUGUAAAUAAGGAACCAUUAGGCAAUGUGUGUGAGCCAGAGGACAGAGCCUCAGGUGAAUAGAGUAUUUGUCAGAGAGGCGUGUGAUUGUGUCUGUGUGAAGCAGUCCUCAGGGUCUUUCCUCUAAGAGUGCCCUCAACGGUCGACAACGUCGAAAGUCGCCUACUUUAAGCGGAAAUAUGCGGAAGAGGAGGAUGUUCAGGGAAGCCUACAUGGAUAUUUACAAAAACACCUGAUCCUGCGUGAGGAGCGCAGCUGCAUCUUGCGCCUGUCUCUGCAGAAGCUGCGUUUCCUAGACGACCCCGAGGUUUACCUCCGCCGCUCAGUGCUCAUCAACAACCUGCUACGCAAGAUCCACCUGGACGAGGCCCAGAGGGAGAGGGAGAAACAGAGGGAUGACAAGGAGGAGGAGACAGAGAGGAGGCGGAAGAGACUGAAGGUGGUGCUCCAGGAGUUCCAGCAGUACAAGCUGCUGCCGUAUUCAUGCUGCCCAGCCACAUGCAUCUGUGCCCUGGGGAGCUGCCACACCCUGCCUCCUGAUCAUGGAGCUUCAGUGCUACUCUACCAUUUGGAUGACAAAGGAUAAGAUGUCGUCGUGUGCAUGCAGGGGAUUUCCAACAGUCCGUGACUGAUUUCCAGGAGCCAGCAAAAAA